rnacentral:rRNA from 1 species
GGCCUAACACAUGCAAGUCGAGGGGUAUAGAUAGCUUGCUAUCUAGAGACCGGCGCACGGGUGCGUAACGCGUAUGCAAUCUGCCUUGUACAGGGGGAUAGCCCAGAGAAAUUUGGAUUAAUACCCCAUAGUAUAUCGAAAUGGCAUCAUUAUGAUAUUAAAGUUCCAACGGUACAAGAUGAGCAUGCGUCCCAUUAGCUAGAUGGUAAGGUAACGGCUUACCAUGGCAACGAUGGGUAGGGGUCCUGAGAGGGAGAUCCCCCACACUGGUACUGAGACACGGACCAGACUCCUACGGGAGGCAGCAGUGAGGAAUAUUGGUCAAUGGGCGCAAGCCUGAACCAGCCAUGCCGCGUGCAGGAUGAAGCAUCUAUGGUGUGUAAACUGCUUUUAUACGGGAAGAAACAGUUCUUCGUGAAGAACCUUGACGGUACCGUAAGAAUAAGGACC